GUAGAUAUAGUUUAACCAAAAUGCCAGAUUGUGAUUCUGGAGAUGAGAGUUAGACUCCCUCUAUCCACC
rnacentral:tRNA from 1 species